rnacentral:lncRNA from 1 species
CACUCUCUCUGUCUAGGUUUCUCUCCAGGUUUUGUCCAGGGUUUUGUUCCAAGGAAACCUCAGAAUGUUUUGCUUCUCUUCCUUUUUCUGUCUGUUCUCCCUCUUUUAUAACCUGAUUUUCAUAGCUUUGUGGGCUCAAAUGAGAGAGAUCCAAGUCUGAGAUUUUUUCUUUUAUUUAUUUUAUUUAUUUAUUUAUUUAUUUAAUUUUUUUU